rnacentral:rRNA from 1 species
UACGGAGGAUCCAAGCGUUAUCCGGAUUUAUUGGGUUUAAAGGGUGCGUAGGUGGUUUUUUAAGUCAGGGGUGAAAGACGGUAGCUUAACUGUCGCAGUGCCUUUGAUACUGAAGAACUUGAAUACACUAGAGGUAGGCGGAAUGUGACAAGUAGCGGUGAAAUGCAUAGAUAUGACAUAGAACACCAAUUGCGAAGGCAGCUGGCUACACAAAUAUUGACGCUGAGGCACGAAAGCGUGGGGAUCAAACAGG